GAUGAACGCUGGCGGCGUGCUUAACACAUGCAAGUCGAGCGAGCAGAUUUGAAAAGUUUCUUCGUAUGAAAUUCAAAAUGGAAAUCGGCGGACGGGUGAGUAACUCGUAGGCAACCUGCCCCAUACAAAGGGAUAGCAUUUGGAAACGGAUAUUAAUAUCUUAUGAAAUUUAACUAGUGUAUGCUAGGUAGGUCCAAGAUUUGUCGGUAUGAGAUGGGCCUGCGUCUGAUUAGCAAGUUGGAGAGGUAAAGGCGCACAAAGGGGAUGAUCAGUAGCCGUCCAACGGGGGUAAACGCCCAACUCGGAAGUGAGGCACGGUCCAAACUUCUACGGGAGUGGGCGGUAGGGAAUAGUAGACAAGCGGCGAAACCCUGAAGCGUCAACGCCGCGUGAACGUUUAAGACCUUUGAGUCAUAAAGUUCUAUGCUAGGUGACGAAAACUGACAGUAACCUAGGAGAAAGCCCCGGCUAACUCCGUG
rnacentral:rRNA from 1 species